UAUUUGUCACUGGACGCGAGUCUGAACCAGCCAAGUAGCGUGAAGGAUGACUGCCCUAUGGGUUGUACACUUCUUUUAUAUGGGAAUAAAGUUUUCCACGUGUGGAAUUUUGUAUGUACCAUACGAAUAAGGAUCGGCUAACUCAGUGCCAGCAGCCGCGGUAAUACGGAGGAUCCGAGCGUUAUCCGGAUUUAUUGGGUUUAAAGGGAGCGUAGGUGGACAGUUAAGUCAGUUGUCAAAGUUUGCGGCUCAACCGUAAAAUUGCAGUUGAUACUGGCUGUCUUGAGUACAGUAGAGGUGGGCGAAAUUCGUGGUGUAGCGGUGAAAUGCUUAGAUAUCACGAAGAACUCCGAUUGCGAAGGCAGCUCACUGGACUGUUGACUGACACUGAGGCUCGAAAGUGUGGGUAUCAAACAG
rnacentral:rRNA from 1 species